rnacentral:pre_miRNA from 1 species
UUAUGUUUUGUUGAUGGUCAUCUAACCAUCUUUCUUCCCAUUAACAUUUUCAUGAGAAAUGGAUUAUGGUUAGAUGAUCAUCAACAAACACAUU